GACGAACGCUGGCGGCGUGCCUAAUACAUGCAAGUAGAACGCUGAAGGAGGAGCUUGCUCUUCUGGAUGAGUUGCGAACGGGUGAGUAACGCGUAGGUAACCUGCCUGGUAGCGGGGGAUAACUAUUGGAAACGAUAGCUAAUACCGCAUAAGAGUAGAUGUUGCAUGACAUUUGCUUAAAAGGUGCAAUUGCAUCACUACCAGAUGGACCUGCGUUGUAUUAGCUAGUUGGUGGGGUAACGGCUCACCAAGGCGACGAUACAUAGCCGACCUGAGAGGGUGAUCGGCCACACUGGGACUGAGACACGGCCCAGACUCCUACGGGAGGCAGCAGUAGGGAAUCUUCGGCAAUGGACGGAAGUCUGACCGAGCAACGCCGCGUGAGUGAAGAAGGUGUUCGGAUCGUAAAGCUCUGUUGUAAGAGAAGAACGAGUGUGAGAGUGGAAAGUUCACACUGCGACGGUAUCUUACCAGAAAGGGACGGCUAACUACGU
rnacentral:rRNA from 1 species